UUAUUUGGAGCGAUAUUAAGCCCAUAGAAAAUAUAUUAGAGAUGGUGCUACAGUCCAUGUAUAAUUUGUACUGUUUCCCCUAAUUUCAACAUUGUUUAUAACAUAACAGUGGCAAAGCAAUUAAGCUAGAAUUCACUUUGUAUUACCUAGGUGUUGAUUUCUGUCACAGCAUUCAAAGUACUCUAUACAUUUAUUUUAGAAUAUAUAGAGACAAUUACAAAAAUAAAGUAUGGGUAAUCCUAAGAGACAACUGAGUUUUAGCAUUUUUUAAAUAGACACCUUUGUCUGUUUUUCUAUGGAGAAUAUAAGCCCAUUUCUCACAAACUCUGGAUUUCCCUAAAAGAUAGGCUGCCAAACAUAUUUUAAAUACAUUUUUGAAAUUUUCCUUUUUACACUUAAAUAUAACAUGUCUUUUCUUUGGUAAUUUUUUACUUAUAUCUGUUGUUUUUUUAAUAUGUUAUUCCUUCACCUUAAAUACUUUGUUGUAUCUCUGUUCAGUUAAUUCUUUAUUACAUUAAGUAAAAGGCCAACUAUGUUUCCAAUGCUUUUUUCACCUUAAAAAAAAAUAGAACUAUUACCUUUCAGCCGUAGUACUGGAUUAAUAAUAUAUGCGUAUGUCAAAUUGAACUAUUUAAGUUUGUGGAAUUAAAAAAAAUGUAUGUAGUGAACUUUUGACUGUCAUACUUUUAUGUGGUUCACCCUGAAUUUUGCAAAUGCUUUCUAGGUUUUUCUAAUCCCUCUUUCUCCACUGAGAAUCUCCACAUUUAGAAUAGGGUACUGACAUACAUAUUUAGGCCAAAGUGGUAACUAAACUUACCUUCCUCAAGUCUCAUAACCUACUUAAGGCCUAUGACGACAGAACCUUGAAUGUGUUGCCUAUCAGUAUAGAAACUGACUGGAGUUUUCAACUUAAGCUCUGUAAAACAGCCUGAUCUGUCUCCAGGUUCAUUUCUGUGUUGCCUAGCUAGUUACAGUGCUGCCACCCAGUGGCAAUGUAUAGAAACGCUGCUAUUAUUGCUGCAUUUAUUUUUCACCAUUUCAAAUACUUUUUCUUGUAUGUUCUUCUUUGUUCAUGGUUUCAUCUUCUGUUUUUUUUUCCUCCACUCAGGCCACUAAUAUUUGCGUGUUUCAGCUGAUAUUUAGGGAGCUGAACACGAGCUGUAUAACGUGGUUCUGAUAGUCUAUUUAAAUAAAGACUUUGGAAUAUGGGACACGAUAUUAAUAAUAAGCGUAAACAUACCGAGUGGAUUCUUGUUUGCUCUGCUUUAUGAAGUUAUGGUUCUUUGCACAAAAGGGCACUUAUUUUGUAUUUUGGUAAGAAUAUGAUACUUCUUUUGAUGUUUAAUGGAAAACUUCUCGUUGUAUAAGAAGAAACACUCCUGUAAUAUGUGAAGAGCUCAUACUUCAGCGUAGCAUGAAAGCUGUAGCUUAGAAAUUCUUCCUCAAUUUCCUCUUGCUGUUAUUUGCCAUUGUCUGACUGGUCAUUUCAUUCAAUAUUCAUUUAAGGAACACUUAACUAAGCAUCUACUUGGAGUCUGCCCUGUACCCGUAUGGUGCUCCCCAGUGUUGCAGUGGUGAUCAAGAGAAGCAUGGCCUUCAUCUUAAAUAAUGAGAGAACUAAAGCAGGAGACCACAAGUAGAAGUUUAAGUGCGGAGCUCCAGAGUGCUUUGAGGGCCAGUGUCAAAUGCAUGUGACACAGAUGGACAGUCAGAGAGGGCUUUCUACCAGAACUGCUUAAAUGAAGAUGUAAAGGAAGCCGGAAAAGGGAAGAAUAGAAUGUUCCUGACAGAAGAGAAAUGAUGUGCUAGGAAAGGAGGUGAAAGACCAGAAGUCAUUGCUUUUGAGAAACUAUAAGUUCAUCAUGGCAAAAGGUGUGGGCACUAGCCGUGCUCUCCCUAUUUUAUACUUGUGGUAACUGGAUCUAAGAGGUCACCAGCCUCCAGUAAGUGGCCCAGCCAGCAGUUGAACAUAAGUUGUCUAGUUGUGGCAUAUUGACCCCUGUUUGUUCUGCAGGCUGCCUUUCAUCUGGGCUGCCUUAAGCUCGGGUGAAGCAUGGUGCCUGUGAGCCGGUGAGAGCUCUGCUCUCAUUUCUUAGCAUGCUGAGGCUGCACUGGAGACCCAGAGAAUUAACUAUUCCAGCAGCUGGCAUUUAUAGGGUCUGCAUUAGUUUACAAACAUUCAGAUUCGCUUUAGUCUUUUGUCAUUGGCUGGUAGUCAAACAAGCAUUAUUUGAUAUGCAUUGCUAAGGUUUCCAGAAAAGUAUAGAUGGGAAAUUAUAACUGGUUAUGUUAUGUUAUGUUAUGUUAUGUUAUGUUAUAUUAUAUUAUAUUAUGUUAUUUAUUUAUUUAUUUACUGCCAAAAAAAGCCUCCAGAACACAAGAUGUUCAUUAAUCUGCAAAAGGUAGAAAUUUUGUUUGAUUUCUGAAGUUAACUUGUCAACAUAUUUUUUUUGAUUUUCAGUGUUAAAUUGGAACUCAGUUUCAAUAUUUGAACUAUUGUCUUUUAAACUUGCAUGAAUGUAAAAAUAAAAAUUAAAUGGAGAUAUUUCUUCCACUGCAUAUGUUUUAUUUCAUCUUAAAAUAUAAACUUUUGGGCUGGAGAGAUGGCUCAGUGGUUAAGAGCACUGACUGUUCUUCCAGAGGUCCUAGCAACCACGUGGUGACUCGCACCCAUCUGUCAUGGGAUCCAAUGCAUUCUUCUGGUGUGUGUCUGAAGACAGCUGCAGUGUACUCAUAUAAAU
rnacentral:lncRNA from 1 species